AUUUGUCAAGAACAAAUCAUUCCAAACCAAUCCUCUUUCCUUCUUCGGCAGGGUUCCGGGCCUAGUGAAGCCAGCUGAUCGCCCAGUGUCAUCACCCUGCCUGCUGGCUGGGCAGGGUAACUCCUCAGGUCACCACCCUCCUCUCCAGCCUGUCUUGGGCUUGGAGAGUGAGGAGAAGGGCGAGGGAUGACAUUGAACAUCCUCCAUCCAUCGCUUCAUCACCAGAGCAAGAUGGCCAGGCUCCUGAGGAUGUUCAGGAAGAAGGCUCUGCAGGCGGCCCCAGAGCCUGUGGGAAGCAGCUGCCAUCUUCCCCAGGAGCCGAGAGGCCCAACCGUCCCCAAUGGCGGGGA